UACGAAGGGGGCUAGCGUUGUUCGGAAUUACUGGGCGUAAAGGGCGCGUAGGCGGUGUGUCAAGUCAGGCGUGAAAGCCCCGGGCUCAACCUGGGAACCGCGCUUGAGACUGGCACGCUCGAGUUCGGGAGAGGAUGGUGGAAUUCCCAGUGUAGAGGUGAAAUUCGUAGAUAUUGGGAAGAACACCGAUGGCGAAGGCAGGUCUCUGGGCCGCAACUGACGCUGAGGAGCGAAAGCAUGGGGAGCGAACGGG
rnacentral:rRNA from 1 species